CUUACUCCCCAAGUUCCAAUACCUUAUCAGAACACUGCAGAUUUUCCUCCCAAACAAAUACCUAACCAAACUGCAACGCAUAUACACAUCAUUUGUAUGGGCACACAAGAAAAUAAGAGUGGCGUCAACAAUUCUGAGCAAACCCACCUCCCAAGGAGGCCUAGGCCUGCCAACCGUCCGGCUAUAUUAUGAGGCCGCCCUCCUGUCCACGAGUCUUACUCUACACACAGGGAGCAACAAGCCCCAAUGGGCAGAGAUGGAGGCUGCAGGGAUAUACCCGGGGGGCAUAAAAUACUUAUUCUGGGUACCCCACAAAUUGAGACCCAAACACAAAGACUUACUACCAACCACCUCUUUACUCCUAGACGUGUGGGACUCGAAGACAAAACUCCUAGGGCAAGUCACAAACUGGGGGAUGGCGACCCCGAUACGGAGCUUGCACAUCGCAAAUCCCACUUUAGACCACCGCCCUUGGACACAACGAGGGUGCACACGUAUAGAACACCUCUACAAGGAAGGUAAAUUAGAGCCUUAUCCCACUCUGAAACACAAAUACCACUUGCCAAAUGCCACUCUGUUCACAUACCUCCAAAUAAAAGCACUUCUGGAGAAUGAGAUCACAAUAACAACACCCUCACCCUUAAAACAAUUGUAUCACAUAUGCACCACGGGCAACAUACCAAAAAAGACGCUCUCUCUACUUUACGCUACACUAAUCGACAACCCUAAAACACCAUCAAAAGACAAAUUCAAGGAACACUGGCAUGAGGACCUACAUAAACAUUUCACGGACAGCCAAUGGCAAAAAGCUUUUAUCGCCCACAAAGGGAGAUCUAGAUGCGCAGCACACUUAGAGCUCAUGAGGAAACUGCAGUACAGGUGGUACAUGGUGCCGACAAGACUGGCAAACAUGUACCCACAUACGUCAAAACUGUGCUGGAGGUGCGGGUUGGAGGAAGGUAGCAUGUACCACAUAUGGUGGACAUGUAGCCAAAUACAACCAUACUGGAGAGAAGUAGGAGACAUUAUUAGACACACACUCGGCACACAGUCGUCCCUCCAACCAGAAUGCGGUCUGUUAUUUAUGACACUGGAGUCAUACAACAGACCUCAAGCGAUACUACUCUUCCACAUCCUAAUAGCUGCAAACACACUGAUCGCAAGGGCCUGGAAACAAACCAAGAGACCAGAAAAAGAGGCAUUACUGAACCAAAUCUCUACUAAUUUAAUGUAUGAAACCAAAUUAAACGCCAAAUUCGGAGCAUCUGCUCAAGCAAAACAAGCCAAAGACAGAUGGGAAGAGGUGACGGGAACCACAUGAAGUGGUUAUAGAACAACCAGGCAAAAGAGGCGAGCGACAGGGUGGGAGGGAGAGGAGUAGCACACGCACAAACCAGGGGCAACAGAGAGAGAGUGAGAAACAAAGUAGACGGAUACCAAUAUGUAAAUAGAUGUGUAAAUAGUUGUAUUAGGGAAAGCAAAGGACGAGAG